GAUGAACGCUGGCGGCGUGCCUAAUACAUGCAAGUCGAGCGAACUGAUUAGAAGCUUGCUUCUAUGACGUUAGCGGCGGACGGGUGCGUAACACGUGGGCAACCUGCCUGUAAGACUGGGAUAACUUCGGGAAACCCAAGCUAAUACCGGAUAGGAUCGUCUCCUUCAUGGGAGAUGAUUGAAAGAUGGAUUCGGCUAUUCCUUAUAGAUGGGCCAGCGGUGCAUUAGCUAGUUGGUGAGGUAACGGAUCACCAAGGCAACGAUGCAUAGCCGACCGGAGAGGGUAUUCGGCAACACUGGGACUGAGACACGGCCCAGACUCCUACGGGAGGCAGCAGUAGGGAAUCUUCCGCAAUGGACGAAAGUCUGACGGAGCAACGCCGCGUGAGUGAUGAAGGCUUUCGGGUCGUAAAACUCUGUUGUUAGGGAAGAACAAGUACGAGAGUAACUGCUCGUACCUUGACGGUACCUAACCAGAAAGCCACGGCUAACUACGUGCCAGCCGCCGCCGUAA
rnacentral:rRNA from 1 species